rnacentral:rRNA from 1 species
GAUCCUGGCUCAGAUUGAACGCUGGCGGCAGGCUUAACACAUGCAAGUCGAACGGUAACAGGAGAGAGCUUGCUUUCUUGCUGACGAGUGGCGGACGGGUGAGUAAUGCUUGGGAAUCUGGCUUAUGGAGGGGGGAUAACGACGGGAAACUGUCGCUAAUACCGCGUAGAGUCGAGAGACGAAAGUGCGGACGCAAGGACCGGCAUGCCACUAGGAUGAGCCCAACGUGGGAGUUAGGUUAGG